AUCUUUGCAAGCAGUCUGGAGAGAGGGGGCUGUUUUCUCAGGAGAUUGAGACCUGAAGAGACUGCUGAAGAGACACUGUCUUUGUCACCGUGAGAAGAAUCUGUCUGUUGGAUUUUGACUCUAGUGGCAGGGAUGAAAAGGAGGCUCUGUGAAAGACAUAUCAGAAUCAAUAGCAGGCUGCGCCUUGGUGCACGUGGAACAAAUUGGACCCAUUAUUAUUUGCAUGUGCGCCAGAGAAUGCCCAUCUCACACAGGGCCACUGCCCCACUGGAAUAGAUGUUCUCCUGUGGAAUCUCAGAGUUCCAAGACCCCAAAGAGAUGAUGUAGCCCAGAAUGGCCAUGUGUCACUCGGACCUCAAGAAGGUAUUUUUGUGAAGAAUACAGAUAAGUGGACAUAAGUAAAACAUUUGAGGACUCUGACUCGCUGAGACUGCUACUUUUACUUUCUGAACUUGAGAGAACCAGAUUGUUUUCAUUUGCUGGCCUUCUAGGUAGAGG